rnacentral:tRNA from 1 species
GAUGGGGUGGCCGAGUGGUUAAGGUGAUGGACUGCUAAUCAUUGUGCUCUGCACGCGUGGGUUCGAAGUCCAUCCUCAUCG